GAUGAAGAACGCAGCGAAAUGCGAUACGUAGUGUGAAUUGCAGAAUUCAGUGAAUCAUCGAAUCUUUGAACGCAUCUUGCGCUCCUUGGUAUUCCGAGGAGCAUGCCUGUUUGAGUGUCAUUAAAUUCUCAACCUUACUAGCUUUUGCGAAGUAAGGCUUGGAUGUGGGGGUUACUUUUGCUGGCUUCUAACGAGGUCGGCUCCCCUGAAAUGCAUUAGCGGUGCCCUUGUGGACCCCGACUAUCAGUGUGAUAAUUAUCUACGCUGUUAGGCGCCCACGCUUUAGUGCUGCUUCUAACCGUCCGGUUUCUGGACAACACAAAUGACAUUUCUGACCUCAAAUCAGGUAGGACUACCCGCUGAACUUAAGCAUAUCAAUAAGCGGAGGA
rnacentral:misc_RNA from 1 species